CUACGGGAGGCAGCAGUGGGGAAUAUUGGACAAUGGGGGAAACCCUGAUCCAGCAAUGCCGCGUGUGUGAAGAAGGCCUGCGGGUUGUAAAGCACUUUCGGUUGGGAGGACUGCUUCUAGCACUAAUAUUGUUGGAAGUUGACGUUACCUUCAGAAGAAGCACCGGCUAACUCCGUGCCAGCAGCCGCGGUAAUACGGAGGGUGCAAGCGUUAAUCGGAAUUACUGGGCGUAAAGCGCGCGUAGGCGGCUAGAUCAGUCGGGUGUGAAAGCCCCGGGCUUAACCUGGGAACUGCAUCCGAUACUGUCUAGCUUGAGUACAGGAGAGGAGAGUGGAGUUCCACAUGUAGCGGUGAAAUGCGUAGAUAUGUGGAGGAACACCAAUGGCGAAGGCAGCUCUCUGGCCUGAUACUGACGCUGAGGUGCGAAAGCGUGGAGAGCAAACAGGAUUAGAUACCCCUGUAGUC
rnacentral:rRNA from 1 species